rnacentral:rRNA from 1 species
AGUGAACGCUGGCGGUAGGCCUAACACAUGCAAGUCGAACGGCAGCACAGUAAGAGCUUGCUCUUACGGGUGGCGAGUGGCGGACGGGUGAGGAAUACAUCGGAAUCUACUUUUUCGCGGAGGAUAACGUAGGGAAACUUACGCUAAUACCGCAUACGACCUACGGGUGAAAGCAGGGGAUCUUCGGACCUUACGCGAUUGAAUGAGCCGAUGUCGGAUUAGCUAGUUGGCGGGGUAAAGGCCCACCAAGGCGACGAUCCGUAGCUGGUCUGAGAGGAUGAUCAGCCACACUGGAACUGAGACACGGUCCAGACUCCUACGGGAGGCAGCAGUGGGGAAUAUUGGACAAUGGGCGCAAGCCUGAUCCAGCCAUACCGCGUGGGUGAAGAAGGCCUUCGGGUUGUAAAGCCCUUUUGUUGGGAAAGAAAAGCAGCAGGUUAAUACCCCGCUGUUCUGACGGUACCCAAAGAAUAAGCACCGGCUAACUUCGUG